rnacentral:rRNA from 1 species
AUUGAACGCUGGCGGCAGGCCUAACACAUGCAAGUCGAGCGGAUGAAGGGAGCUUGCUCCUGGAUUCAGCGGCGGACGGGUGAGUAAUGCCUAGGAGUCUGCCUGGUAGUGGGGGAUAACGUCCGGAAACGGGCGCUAAUACCGCAUACGUCCUGAGGGAGAAAGUGGGGGAUCUUCGGACCUCACGCUAUCAGAUGAGCCUAGGUCGGAUUAGCUAGUUGGUGGGGUAAAGGCCUACCAAGGCGACGAUCCGUAACUGGUCUGAGAGGAUGAUCAGUCACACUGGAACUGAGACACGGUCCAGACUCCUACGGGAGGCAGCAGUGGGGAAUAUUGGACAAUGGGCGAAAGCCUGAUCCAGCCAUGCCGCGUGUGUGAAGAAGGGCUUCGGAUUGUAAAGCACUUUAAGUUGGGAGGAAGGGCAGUAAGUUAAUACCUUGCUGUUUUGACGUUACCAACAGAAUAAGCACCGGCUAACUUCGU